rnacentral:rRNA from 1 species
GACGAACGCUGGCGGCGUGCUUAACACAUGCAAGUCGAACGGAAAGGCCCUGCUUUUGUGGGGUGCUCGAGUGGCGAAAGGGUGAGUAACACGUGAGUAACCUGCCCUUGACUUUGGGAUAACUUCAGGAAACUGGGGCUAAUAUCGGACAGGAGCUCCUGCUGCAUGGUGGGGGUUGGAAAGUUUCGGCGGUUGGGGAUGGACUCGCGGCUUAUCAGCUUGUUGGUGGGGUAGUGGCUUACCAAGGCUUUGACGGGUAGCCGGCCUGCGAGGGUGACCGGCCACAUUGGGACUGAGAUACGGCCCAGACUCCUACGGGAGGCAGCAGUGGGGAAUAUUGCACAAUGGGCGGAAGCCUGAUGCAGCAACGCCGCGUGCGGGAUGACGGCCUUCGGGUUGUAAACCGCUUUCGCCUGUGACGAAGCGUGAGUGACGGUAAUGGGUAAAGAAGCACCGGCUAACUACGUG